rnacentral:rRNA from 1 species
GAUGAACGCUGGCGGCGUGCAUAACACAUGCAAGUCGAACGAAGUGGCGGACGGGUGAGUAACGCGUGCGUAACCUGCCUUAGAGAUGGGGAUAGCCUCUGGAAACGGAGACUAAUACCCAAUGCUCUAAGAUGGACUUGCGUCUGAUUAGCUAGUUGGUGAGAUAAUAGCUCACCAAGGCAACGAUCAGUAGCCGACUUGGGAAAGUUGACAGCCACAUUAGGACUGAGACACGGCCCAGACUAUACUGGAGGCAGUAGUGGCGAAUAUUGCACAAUGGGGGAAACCCUGAUGCAGCAACGCCGCGUGCGUGAGACGGCCUUCGGGUUGUAAACCGCUUUCAGCCAUGACGCGGUAGUGGCAGAAGAAGCACCGGCUAACUACGUGCCAGCAGCCGCGGUAAUUC